CCCACCGGCCUCAACUUGGCUAUGGCGACGGGGAGACGAGGAUCAACAACUCCUCUCCACUGCCUUCUCCACCGCCGCCCGCCACACGCCUCCCCGCGUCCCUCCUUCAUCCCCGUCCCCGAUUGGGCCGCCGCCACCACCGCACCAUCAGGGGACGCCAGGGGAGUGCAACCACCGCGCCGCCAGGGCCGGCAAUGCGUGAGCCGCCGCGGGUACCGCGCCGAUUGCUGCUUCUGACGAUGCGGGAGCCGCCCCAUCCGGCGAGGACGAGGGGCGCCGUCACCGCUGAUCCUCACUUCCUCAGGGCGCAUGCUGCAUCUGAAGCCUCCCUAAUGCGCUCCUCCACUCCGUUUCUAACACGUAGUUCAUACCUGGCUCGCCGCUGCCAUGCGCCGCUGAGCUCUGGAGCAGCCGCUGUCGAAGCCCAUCGCCAGCCGUCCUUGGGUGGGCCGGCGCCGAAACUCGGCUCCCAGUGGCAUCCCCGCUCGAGGUCCUUCUCCACCUCAUAUUCGGCAGAGUUCCUGAUUUCCUCACUUCUCCUGAGAUGAAGUCUAUUGAUGAUGUGCCAAUGUGAAGGUACCACUGUGCUUUUCAAUGCAAUGUGGAGAUAAAACUUCUAGCCAAUGUGAAUUCAAUAUUAUAUUUAUUUUCUUAAAACUACAGUGGUAUCCAUGUUAGUACAGAACUACAGAUCAUUUUAUCUUUCCCUUUUGUAGGUUAUUUCUUUUAUACUUUACGACUGCUUCAAUAUUCAAGAUUUGCUUCCGGUCUUC